rnacentral:rRNA from 1 species
ACGAACGCUGGCGGCGUGCUUAACACAUGCAAGUCGAACGGUGAAGCGCCUUCCUUUUUGGUGGGUGUGGAUGAGUGGCGAACGGGUGAGUAACACGUGAGUAACCUGCCCCCUUCUUCUGGAUAACCGCAUGAAAGUGUGGCUAAUACGGGAUAUUCUGGGUCUGUCGCAUGAUGGGUCUGGGAAAGAUAUUGUUUCGGUGGGGGAUGGGCUCGCGGCCUAUCAGCUUGUUGGUGGGGUGAUGGCCUACCAAGGCGGUGGCUGGUAGCCGGCCUGGGAGGGUGGACGGUCACACUGGGGCUGAGACACGGCCCAGACUCCUACGGGAGGCAGCAGUGGGGAAUAUUGCACAAUGGGCGCAAGGCUGAUGCAGCGACGCCGCGUGAGGGAUGGAGGCCUUCGGGUUGUGAACCUCUUUCGCCAGUGAAGCAGGCCUGCCUCGUUUGUGGGUGGGUUGACGGUAGCUGGAUAAGAAGCGCCGGCUAACUACGUG